ACUUGUUCUCAGGGCGGGGUGGAAGUCCCCACCGGCGGUAAUCUGGUUUGCCAGAAAGCCCGCGAGCGCUCCUUCGGGUGAAGGAGGUCAGCAGACCCGGUGUAACUCCGGGGCCGACGGUAACAGUCCGGAUGAAAGAGAAUAUGA
rnacentral:ncRNA from 3 species